GCUCCGGUAGCCCAAUGGCAGAGGCAAGCGACUUAAAAUCGCUUUAGUGAGAGUUCGAAUCUCUCCCGGAGCA
rnacentral:tRNA from 1 species